UACAGAGGUCUCAAGCGUUGUUCGGAUUCAUUGGGCGUAAAGGGUGCGUAGGCGGCGCGGUAAGUCGGGUGUGAAAUCUUGGAGCUUAACUCCGAAACUGCAUUCGAUACUGCCGUGCUUGAGGACUGGAGAGGAGACUGGAAUUUACGGUGUAGCGGUGAAAUGCGUAGAUAUCGUAAGGAAGCCCAGUGGCGAAGGCGGGUCUCUGGACAGUUCCUGACGCUGAGGCACGAAGGCCAGGGGAGCAAACGGG
rnacentral:rRNA from 1 species